AUUGAACGCUAGCGGCAGGCCUAACACAUGCAAGUCGAACGAGUGGCGGACGGGUGAGUAAUGUCUGGGAAACUGCCUGAUGGAGGGGGAUAACUACUGGAAACGGUAGCUAAUACCGCAUACCAUCAGAUGUGCCCAGAUGGGAUUAGCUAGUUGGUGGGGUAACGGCUCACCAAGGCGACGAUCCCUAGCUGGUCUGAGAGGAUGACAAGCCACACUGGAACUGAGCCACGGCCCAGACUCCUACGGUAGGCAUCAGUGGGGAAUAUGGGACAAUGGGCGCAAGCCUGAUGCAGCCAUGCCGCGUGUAUGAAGAAGGCCUUCGGGUUGUAAAGUACUUUUAGCGGGGAGGCGGUAUCUGCAGAAGAAGCACCGGCUAACUCCGUGCCAGCAGCCGCGGUAAUUC
rnacentral:rRNA from 1 species